AGAGGAUCAGCUUUAAACAGCUGCUCAAAGUAGCCGACUAAGUGAGUCACAACUGCCACAUCAUCCCUAUAGACCGUUCCAUCACCCGUCCUGACUGCGACUCUCUGAGGAACAGAUUUGGAUGUGUGUAAUUCUUCGAUUCCUCUAAGCCUUGAAGCCAUCAUUAUCCGUUCCUGAUUCAGACUGGAGUUGCCAUCAAGCUGCUUGCUGCGACUCCUCUCGAUGAUAUCCAGGGAACUCUGCCGGAUGAAACACCACCUUCUGGGCACACCUGCACCACCAACACAACCCUCAGCAACCUUCAGUGCCCUGUCACAGAGGGUCUCCCACACCACGUUAGAAUCAGCAGUCAUACCCAAGUCUGCAUGUUCCUCACAUAACCUGCAAGCAAACUCACUAGAAUCAGCCUGAUAUUGGACAUUGGACACUAUCAGGGAGAGCCGAUCCACCACAGCAACAGCUACUCCCUGAGUAGGGCAGCCAUCAGAGCAACCAAAUCAACAAUUGGUAUCCCACCUACCGAGAUCUGGCCAAUCUCUGGCCUGCGUACCUCAGAGAGUUCCGCCACCGAAACGCAGAGUUUACGAAGCUCCCCCAACAGCAGAGGAAGAUGGUCAUAUGGACCAGAAAGACAAGACGUUCCGCGUACUUACCCGGAUGGGCUACAUCAGAUUGGGACCCAAGUGUAUCUGUGCAGCAGACGACGCCUCAACACAACUCCAAUUCCAAUCCCCCAACCGGAUGAACCGGAUGAAGUUUGACGUCAUACCCAGGACGGUAGUGAACACAUAAAAAACAUCAUGCAUUGUCAUAUAUAAUUGAAAUAAGAAAAAUGCUUCAUAGCCUUAUAUGAACCAUGCUGUUUUUUCAUAUGGCAAGACAGUUUGACAUGCAUAAAAUAGUAGUUUUGCACCAAUAGUAGUUUUGAUUUCCAAAGAGCUAUUAACUGAAAACAUGCUAUAUCUCAGCAUGGUGAUACAGUAGUUAUUCUUUUGUCCUCCACUUGUCCAGUUCCCUGAAUUUUUUCAAGUACAUAUGGACAAGCAUUUUUUACACAGAAAAUGGACUGAAAAACAGUGGCAACAGGUCUUACAGAGCAAUGAAUCCAAAUUUGAAAUUUACGGUUCAUAUCAUCAAUAUAUACGGAGGAGAUCAGGAGAGAGCUGUAACAGUGAGCGUCUAAAGGCAUCAAUAAAACAUGGUGGAGGCUCUGUGAUGGAAUGUUCUUCAAGAAGCCAGGAGAACUAUUCCUGAAGUCGACUUAAAGAAAUGACAAGAAAGCUUGCCUAAGACACUCCAGAGUGUAUUGAAGAAUAAUGGUGGUCAUACCAAACAUUAACUUUAAAGCUCGUUAGAGCUACACAAACUCUUUGUGUUAUAUACUGUAUUUACAUGUAUGUUUGCACAUGUUGCAAUAAAUCACUGUGCCUAUUG